rnacentral:tRNA from 1 species
GCUGGUGUAGCACAGCCGGUAGUGCAGCUGAUUCGUAAUCAGCAGGUCGGGGGUUCGAGUCCCCCCACCAGCUCCA